rnacentral:rRNA from 1 species
UGGGGAAUUUUGGACAAUGGGGGAAACCCUGAUCCAGCCAUCCCGCGUGUGCGAUGAAGGCCUUCGGGUUGUAAAGCACUUUUGGCAGGAAAGAAACGUCGCGGGUUAAUACCCCGCGAAACUGACGGUACCUGCAGAAUAAGCACCGGCUAACUACGUGCCAGCAGCCGCGGUAAUACGUAGGGUGCAAGCGUUAAUCGGAAUUACUGGGCGUAAAGCGUGCGCAGGCGGUUCGGAAAGAAAGAUGUGAAAUCCCAGAGCUUAACUUUGGAACUGCAUUUUUAACUACCGGGCUAGAGUGUGUCAGAGGGGGGUGGAAUUCCGCUGUAGCAGUGAAAUGCGUAGAUAUGCGGAGGAACACCGAUGGCGAAGGCAGCCUCCUGGGAUAACACUGACGCUCAUGCACGAAAGCGUGGGGAGCAAACAGGAUUAGAUACCCUGGUAGUCCACGCCCUAAACGAUGUCAACUAGCUGUUGGGGCCUUCGGGCCUUGGUAGCGCAGCUAACGCGUGAAGUUGACCGCCUGGGGAGUACGGUCGCAAGAUUAAAACUUAAAGGAAUUG